rnacentral:rRNA from 1 species
UACGUAGGGUGCAAGCGUUGUCCGGAAUUAUUGGGCGUAAAGAGCUCGUAGGCGGUCUGUCACGUCGGGCGUGAAAAUCCAGGGCUUAACCCUGGACCUCGCGUUCGAUACGGGCAGACUAGAGUUCGGUAGGGGAGACGUGGAAUUCCUGGUGUAGCGGUGAAAUGCGUAGAGAUGUGGAGGAACACCGAUGGCGAAGGCAGCCCCCUGGGUACAAGCAUUGACGCUCAUGCACGAAAGCGUGGGGAGCAAACAGG